rnacentral:lncRNA from 1 species
UAGCGAGCUGUCAAAUCUGUCAUCAUCGUACCACGACAGAAGAAAUCUUCCGUGAUGAGUCCGUGAAUAUUAUGGGCUCAUCUAUAGGAUGUCCAUACCUCACCUUCUCGCACAAUUCUGGCAGACGGCUUCCUUCCUCAUCAUCAUAUUUGCCACCUAUCUGUGUAUCAGAGAACUGUUCAGAGCUGCCUACGGUCAAAGACCUCCUGCUCCCGUUCGCUCGUGUUGUCGAAGACCCUGUGAAGACUCUAGCUGAGCAGUUUCUGAUAACAAUUUCAAGCAGUGGCCUCGUUCCCUCGCUCAAGAUGUGACGGCUCCGGUAUUGAGAAUGACCUACCCUGAAACCAGAUAUAUCUCUCAAUUCCGGCCUACCGCAGUUUUUAUUGUGAUUCUGUUUUCUCGUUGGCUCGCUCUCGAGCAGAUUAGAAGGAUUACUAAGCCUCGGAAUUCUUGCUGGGUUCCCGCUCGACGCUGUUAGAGGCCUUGUAUUAUUAUCUAUUGAAGAUUAAAAGAUUGGUCUAAGAUGGAGUACGAUGCUCUGAUUUUGGGAUUGAUCAUUUAUUUACUCUUAGUGGGAGUAUUAGUCAUAAUAAACGAAUCAUUCUGCAAAGCGAUUUGCUUAAAACAUGCUCAGCAAGCUCACCUUGGAAGAAAACCACCCGACGUGGAACUGAACGAAAGGAACCCAAAGAUAAUAGCGAGGGAACCAAUCCUGCACCAGCCAACCAAGACGUCGUAUCGGCAAAAGUUCUAGUAUUCGACAACAGAUGGCGUUGAUACCAAUAAUGUUUGGCAGAAAGAAAUUGUACAAAGUCAACCUUCGCCCAAUUAUAUCAA